GAUGAACGCUGGCGGCGUGCCUAAUACAUGCAAGUCGAGCGAAUGGAUUAAGAGCUUGCUCUUAUGAAGUUAGCGGCGGACGGGUGAGUAACACGUGGGUAACCUGCCCAUAAGACUGGGAUAACUCCGGGAAACCGGGGCUAAUACCGGAUAACAUUUUGAACCGCAUGGUUAGAAAUUGAAAGGCGGCUUCGGCUGUCACUUAUGGAUGGACCCGCGGCGCAUUAGCUAGUUGGUGAGGUAACGGCUCACCAAGGCAACGAUGCGUAGCCGACCUGAGAGGUUGAUCGGCCACACUGGGACUGAGACACGGCCCAGACUCCUACGGGAGGCAGCAGUAGGGAAUCUUCCGCAAUGGACGAAAGUCUGACGGAGCAACGCCGCGUGAGUGAUGAAGGCUUUCGGGUCGUAAAACUCUGUUGUUAGGGAAGAACAAGUGCUAGUUGAAUAAGCUGACACCUUGACGGUACCUAACCAGAAAGCCACGGCUAACUACGUGCCAGCAGCCGCCGUAA
rnacentral:rRNA from 1 species